rnacentral:rRNA from 1 species
CGAUGCCUCGCAACCAGUUUGACCGGCGAAUUCGUUUAUCCUCCGGGGUCGGCGCGGGGUGCCGAACGAGCAUCCCGUCCUUCCCUUUCGUCGGGGCGGCGGUCAGGUCCCGCCUGGCUUCCUCCCGGCAAAACACAAACCCCGGCGCUUGCACGCGCCAAGGAAUUCACAACUGUUCGAUGCGACUCUCGGGGCCCGGAGACGGCGUUCCCCGUGGGUCUCGUCACGAAACGCAACAUAGAAUGACUCUCGGCAACGGAUAUCUCGGCUCUUGCAUCGAUGAAGAACGUAGCGAAAUGCGAUACUUGGUGUGAAUUGCAGAAUCCCGUGAACCAUCGAGUCUUUGAACGCAAGUUGCGCCCGAAGCCAUUAGGUUGAGGGCACGCCUGCCUGGGUGUCACACAUCGCCACACUCGCGCGAAAAAGCCUCCCGUAGGCUGCUGCGCGGUGUGUGUAUGCUGACCUCCCGCGAGCGCAGUCUCGUGGUUGGUUGAAAUCUGAGUUCGUGGCUGAGCACGCCGUGACAAAAUGGUGGAUGAGCUGGACUCGAGACCGAUCACGUGCGCGACUCUUCCAGGUCCGGACUCUUGGACCCCACGCGUCGUCCGACGCUCUUAGC